UGUGUUUGUAUGAGUGUGUGUGUGUGUAUAUCAUGCACACACUCUGCAUUUUAUACACACACACACACACAUACACACACACU